UACGUAGGGGGCAAGCGUUGUCCGGAUUUAUUGGGCGUAAAGAGCGUGUAGGCGGCUGGGUAGGUCCGUUGUGAAAACUCGAGGCUCAACCUCGAGACGCCGAUGGAAACCCUCCAGCUAGAGUCCGGAAGAGGAGAGUGGAAUUCCUGGUGUAGCGGUGAAAUGCGCAGAUAUCAGGAAGAACACCCGUGGCGAAAGCGGCUCUCUGGAACGGUACUGACGCUGAGACGCGAAAGCGUGGGGAGCGAACAGG
rnacentral:rRNA from 1 species